GGGAAGUUGGCUCAGUGGUAGAGUGUUUGCCUUGCAUGCAUGAGGCCAUAGGUUCAAUUCCUCAGCACCACA
rfam:Dipodomys ordii contig_37192, whole genome shotgun sequence.